rnacentral:rRNA from 1 species
GUAUUUUGACUAUACGAAGGUAUUGAAAUAAGGCUUUGAAUGAGUGCUAAGAGAAUGGUUAAACAAUAAUUAGCUUUCUUUAAUUUAAAAAUUAAAUUUAAUUUUUUUGUGAAGAAGCAAAAAUAAAAAUUAGGGACAAGAAGACCCUAUGAAUUUUAAUUUUUCUUAAUUNUUUCUUAAAAUUAAGAAAAAUUUGAUUGGGGCGAUGAUAAAAGAAUGUAUAUCUUUUAAAUAUUAAAGNAAAAAUUGGUUCCAUUAUUAAUGAUUAAUUGACAAAAAUACUCUAGGGAUAACAGCGUUAUAAUUUUGGAUAGUUCUUAUAGAUAAAAUAGUUUGCGACCUCGAUGUUGGAUUAGGAUUCUUUUUUGGUGAAGAAGUUAAAAAGAAGAAGUUUGUUCAACUUUUAAAUUCCU